rnacentral:lncRNA from 1 species
CUUGCUUUCUUCUUACUUCUUCGUCAUAGUGCUCGCGAUGAAACAUGAAUGAAGGCCAUCAUCUGAAUGUUAUAAAAUAGAAUGAUUAGAAGCAAAAGAAAACCACAUCUGACAACAUGUUAAGUUGGAUGCAGUCUGUACACAAACAAAAAUAGAAGAACAAAAACGAUGCAUAGUUAUCGGUGAUACUAGUGAUUGCGCACAAUCUGUAAAUACAUUAUAUUAGUGACAAACAUCAUCAUAAAGAUGACAAUGGGGAUACAUGUAUGCACCAAAAUGAGAAGUUAUUUUGUAUUUGAGAAACAGAAAAUAGUUCAACAUUGCAAACCUUGUUGUUCUACAACGUUUGGAAUUAAGUUGUUCAUUAGAAUGUUCAGUUUCUCCAUAUAACGUGGGUUUAUUUUCAGAUAAAUUGAUGCAAGUAUUUUUCUAGUAAUUGUAGUUGAAAUCAAUUACAUGUUCCGAAAUGUUGUUAGGCUACAAUACGACGGAGAAAUCAACAGAAUGGAAUAAAUUAUGGGGACCAACUCAUAUAACACAAAUUAGUUAAAAACUUUAAAAUGCUACAUAUAUGGGAUUCUGUUGUUCCUUUUCACCACUACAGGUGACUAGCAAUGUUGGUAGUUGGUGGGGCAAAUUAUUUAUUUUUUCAGCGGUCGUUUAAGAAUUUUUUGCAGUUUUCAAUCAAAAUAUUUAAGACUUUCUGAGCUUGCAUUGCUGUUUGCUAUGCAUGGAGCUACAAGAAACAAUGGAUGAAUGGAAAGAAUGGACCUGCAAAGUAGUAUCUGGAAUGUGUCUGCACUAUGAACUGAUAGGUAGACUUGUGACUGCUCAUAAAGUGAUGCCCCCAAUGUUCAGUCACCUCACAGUAAGCAGCUAUUUAAUACGAAGAUGCCAAUAUACAGGUUACUC